AUGUUCAAUGUGUUAAAUGUCGUAUUCAUGUUUCGUGUUAUUUUGGACGAAUUUUCAAAUUCAGCGUGCACGGUCGAUCGUUUGAAAUUUCCUUUGACCAGUAGCUUCAUCUCGCAGUUCCACACUACUUUCAUGUUGCACGUGUUCUGUUUCGAUAGUCAUAGACGAGUAGAUCUACAUCUUCCUCGUGACGGUACAUAUGCAUAUGUGAGGUCUAUUCUAAUGAUACUCCUUAACCUCCUGUCCCGCGUGUACAUUGGCGUCAUCGCCGACGUCGUUCCUCUCGGCCUCCUCUCCCGCGUCCUGUUGCACAUGCGUCACCAUCGGCGUCGUUCCUUUCGGGCCCAUCUCCCGUGUCAUGCUACAUUGACGUGGUUGUCGACGUCGUUCCUCUCUGCCUCCUCUCCUGUGUCCUGCUGCAUUGGCGUCACCAUCCAUGCCGUUCCUCUCGGCCUCCUCUCCCAAGUCCUGGUACACUAG
rnacentral:rRNA from 1 species